CCAAUAGCGUAUAUUAGUGUUGUUGCGGUUAAAAAGCUCGUAGUUGAAUUUCGGGAUUGGGAUAUAUCGGUCAUGCCUUUAGGGACAUGAAUCGGUGUGUGAUCAAUUCUCACCUUCUGGUGAAUUGGGAUGCUCUUGGGUGUUUCGAUGAACUAGGACAUUUACUUUGAAAAAAUUAGUGUUUAAAGCGGGCAUUUUUGCUUGAAUACAUUAGCAUGGAAUAAUAAAAUAGGACGGCAUGAUUCUAUUUUGUUGGUUUCUAGGAUCACCGUAAUGAUUAAUAGGGAUAGUUGGGGGCAUUAGUAUUCAAUUGUCAGAGGUGAAAUUCUUGGAUUUAUUGAAGACUAACUACUGCGAAAGCAUUUGCCAAGGAUGUUUUCAUUAAUCAAGAACGAAAGUUAGGGGAUCGAAGACGAUCAGAUACCGUCGUAGUCUUAACCAUAAACUAUGCCGACUAGGAAUCAGACGAUGUUAAUUUUUUAAUGACUCGUUUGGCACCUUACG
rnacentral:rRNA from 1 species